UUUAUCAACGUUUCGAUCUUCCCGCUGAUAAUUUUGCCGUCUGCUAAAACGAAGGGUUUCAUCGUUCGAUUGCUGAUAUCACAAGCUGCAGUAUGUCAGAACAAGUAGCUGGAACGUCAGCUGGGAGCUCAACCCCAUCUGGGAAUGGCAAGAAGAAAAGAAGGGUAAACUAUACCAAAGAGGAGCAGUUGCAGCUGGUGGAAUUUGUGAAGAGACGAAAGGG